CAAAAGAUGUACUGUACAGCUGUACUAGACAGAUGAUCAUAAAUAAUUAUAAACAAACUGAGCUAUCAGAGAUUGUUCACCCUCAUGAAUCAUACUCGUUCAUAUAUAAUCAGAGUUUCUUCCUUCAGCUAGAUGCAUACAAGUAUUUUCAAAUUUCAAAUAUAGUUUUCUUCCACAUUUCAGCAGGCAUAAAGCAUGUUUGAGAUUGAGGCAAGGAGAUCAUGAAGUAGAACAAGACCUUCAAGCAACAGGCGCGGGCCGACGAUCACGCGCGGACGUUGACGGGCGCCAUGCGGACGACGAUUUCCCCGGCGCCUGGUGCGGCCGCCGGCUGCUCCUGGACGGUGGCGACGAGCUUCUUGUACAGCGCGAAGAGCAGGCAGGUGACCAGGAGAGCCC
rnacentral:lncRNA from 1 species